GACAAACGCUGGCGGCGUGCCUAACACAUGCAAGUCGAGCGUGAAAGGAGCUUCGGCUCUGAGUAAAGCGGCGAACGGGUGAGUAACACGUGGGCAACCUGCCUCAAGGACUGGGAUAACUCCGGGAAACCGGGGCUAAUACCGGGCGAUGUCGUUUCGCGCAAGCGGGCCGACCAAAUGGUAGCUUCGGCCUCCGCCUUGAGAUGGGCCCGCGUCCUAUCAGCUAGUUGGUGAGGUAACGGCUCACCAAGGCUACGACGGGUAGCUGGUCUGAGAGGAUGAUCAGCCACACUGGGACUGAGAUACGGCCCAGACCUCCGUACGGGAGGCUG
rnacentral:rRNA from 1 species